CAAAGCGGCUCCGGCGGCGGCUGGGUGCUGGGGUCGCACCCCGGGGCCCCGGACCGGCCUAGCUCGUGCAUCUGGCGCACGGGGCUCAGUCCCCAGCCGGACUGACCCAGGCAGCACCGAGCAUGGCCCCGAAAACCGAACGGGUGGAUCCGGAUCCUGUGCUCGGUGCUGGCUGUGGCUGCUGCCGAACAGGACUGAGUAUCACUGGGUCCGGAUCCUGCACUCGGUUCUGACAGCGGCAAAGGGGUUCUCCGUCCCUUGACCCGAACCCUCUUAGACCUGGUUCUGCUUGGUGGAUGGGGCUGCCUCCUGCCUCUCCAGGACCAGCUUUUUUGGAGGGUGUCUCCCCCUCCCAGCCAAGCUGGGGUCUGUGUCCAACUCAGAGGGGUGCAUCGCACUGCACCCUGUUGCACCAACGGCCAGAAAUACCUCUCAACUCCCAGAGGUGCAGCUGGGGGUGGAGGAGAUCAACCCCGGGCCAUGUGCAGGAUUGGAUCAGACUUUUGCAAGUGGGUGCGCUGCAGAUGGCUGAGGCGACCCCAGCACGUACUGCCCCGUUUCCGGCGAUGCAUUCUACAGGAAUCGGCUCUUCCUUUGAAGCCAUGGUACCUCCCCUUCUGGACAUCAGGAAGAGAUGCACCACUUUUUCUUCAGCUGUUGACAUCAAACCUCUUUGCCCUUGAUUGGGGACAUAACCGCCUUGUGUAGGACCCACGAUAUUGCUGAAUGACACGAAUGCACAGAAGCAUAAAAUAAGACCGAGACUCAGGGGUUGGCUUCUGGCGAUCUAGCCAUGGCAGCAUGAAAAAUGAAGAGGAAAGCGAUAAGAAACUAAUAAUUUAUGUUCCAAGCACAGACUCACACCAGUGUGGAGGGAAAUUUGUGCCAAUAACUCCUACUAACUCAGAAAGGCAUGCAAUCUUUUAUUGCACAAAUUAUUAACGACCAGAAAAUAAAUGACUCUGUAAUCA